rnacentral:rRNA from 1 species
AUUGAACGCUGGCGGCCGGCUUAACACAUGCAAGUCGAGCGAGCGGCGGACGGGUGAGUAAUGUCUGGGAACCUGCCUGAUGGGGGGGGACAACUACUGGAAACGGUAACUCAUACCGCAUACCAUCAGAUGUGCCCAGAUGGGAUUAGCUAGUGGGUGGGGUAAUGUCUCCCCUAGCCGACGAUCCCUAGCUGGUCUGAGAGUAUGACCAGCCACACUGAAACUGAGACACGGUCCAGACUCCUACGGGAGGCAGCAGUGGGGAAUAUUGCAGAAUGGGCGCAAGCCUGAUGCAGCCAUGCCGCGUGUGGGAAGAAGGCCUUCGGGUUGUAAAGCACUUGCAGCGAGGAGGCGUUACGCGCAGAAGAAGCACCGGCUAACUCCGUGCCAGCAGCCGCGGUAAUUC